GACGAACGCUGGCGGCGUGCCUAAUACAUGCAAGUCGAGCGGACGAAUCGAAAGCUUGCUUUUGAUUCGUUGGCGGCGGACGGGUGAGUAACACGUGGGCAACCUGCCCUGUAGACGGGGAUAACACCGAGAAAUCGGUGCUAAUACCGGAUAACACGAAAUGUCGCAUGACGUUUCGUUGAAAGACGGCGCAAGCUGUCGCUACAGGACGGGCCCGCGGCGCAUUAGCUAGUUGGUGAGGUAACGGCUCACCAAGGCGACGAUGCGUAGCCGACCUGAGAGGGUGAUCGGCCACACUGGGACUGAGACACGGCCCAGACUCCUACGGGAGGCAGCAGUAGGGAAUCUUCCGCAAUGGACGAAAGUCUGACGGAGCAACGCCGCGUGAGCGAAGAAGGCCUUCGGGUCGUAAAGCUCUGUUGUUAGGGAAGAACAAGUAACGCAGUAACUGGCGUUACCGUGACGGUACCUAACGAGAAAGCCACGGCUAACUACGUG
rnacentral:rRNA from 1 species